rnacentral:rRNA from 1 species
GAAGGGACAAUUUGCGGGAGGACGCUUUUUGGACUGUAAACCGCUUUUCUCUAGGAAGAUGAUGACGGUACUAGAGGAAUCAGCAUCGGCUAACUUCGUGCCAGCAGCCGCGGUAAUACGAGGGAUGCAAGCGUUAUCCGGAAUUACUGGGCGUAAAGCGUUCGUAGGUGGCUAAGUCAGUCUGUUGUUAAAACGUGGAGCUUAACUCCAUAUCGGCAAUGGAAACUGCCUAGCUAGAGUAUGGUAGGGGUAACAGGAAUUCCCAGUGUAGCGGUGAAAUGCGUAGAUAUUGGGAAGAACACCAGCGGCGAAAGCGUGUUACUGGGCCAUUACUGACACUGAGGGACGAAAGCUAGGGGAGCGAAAGGGAUUAGAUACCCCUGUAGUCCUAGCCGUAAACGAUGAGAACUAGGUGUUGCGCGUAUCGACCCGCGCGGUGCCGUAGCUAACGCGUUAAGUUCUCCGCCUGGGGAGUACGCACGCAAGUGUGAAACUCAAAGGAAUUGACGGGGGCCCGCACAAGCGGUGGAGUAUGUGGUUUAAUUCGAUGCAACGCGAAGAACCUUACCAGGGUUUGACAUCCUCGGAACCUUCUGGAAACAGAAGGGUGCCUUCGGGAACCGAGAGACAGGUGGUGCAUGGCUGUCGUCAGCUCGUGUCGUGAGAUGUUGGGUUAAGUCCCGCAACGAGCGCAACCCACGUUUUUAGUUGCCAGCAUUUAGUUGGGCACUCUAGAGAGACUGCCGGUGACAAACCGGAGGAAGGUGUGGAUGACGUCAAGUCAGCAUGCCCCUUACAUCCUGGGCUACACACGUACUACAAUGCUACGGACAAAGAGCAGCCAACCAGCAAUGGUGCGCAAAUCUCGUAAACCGUAGCUCAGUUCAGAUUGCAGGCUGCAACUCGCCUGCAUGAAGGCGGAAUCGCUAGUAAUCGCAGGUCAGCAUACUGCGGUGAAUACGUUCCCGGGCCUUGUACACACCGCCCGUCACACCAUGGGAGUUGGUCACGCCCGAAGUGGUUACCCUAACCGUAAGGAGGGGGACCCCUAAGGCAGGGCUGAUGACUGGGGUGAAGUCGUAACAAGGUAGCCGUACCGGAAGGUG